rnacentral:rRNA from 1 species
CUUCGGCCCCAWUUGAGUGGCAAACGGGUGAGUAACGCGUGGGUGACCUACCUUCGAGUGGGGGAUAACGUCUCGAAAGGGACGCUAAUACCGCAUGACAUCCUGCCUUUGGACAGGCGGAGAUCAAAGCCGGGGAUCGCAAGACCUGGCGCUUGARGAGGGGCCCGCGUCCGAUUAGCUAGUUGGUGAGGUAACGGCUCACCAAGGCUYCGAUCGGUAGCCGGCCUGAGAGGGCGGACGGCCACACUGGGACUGAGACACGGCCCAGACUCCUACGGGAGGCAGCAGUGGGGAAUUGUUCGCAAUGGGCGCAAGCCUGACGACGCAACGCCGCGUGGAGGAUGRAGGUCUUCGGAUUGUAAACUCCUGUUGAUCGGGACGAACAUCCAYYGGGAUAACACCCYGGWGGACUGACGGUACCGGUUGAGGAAGCCCCGGCUAACUCUGUGCCAGCAGCCGCGGUAAUACAGAGGGGGCAAGCGUUGUUCGGAAUUACUGGGCGUAAAGGGCGCGUAGGCGGCCACCUAAGUCAGACGUGAAAUCCCUCGGCUCAACCGGGGAACUGCGUCUGAUACUGGGCGGCUUGAAUUCGGGAGAGGAAUGCGGAAUUCCA